GACCAUACGUCAUUAGGAAGCGCCUUUCACCUUCUUCUAAAGGAAGUAUACACUGGCCAUUGAAAGCUGCAUCGUGUUCUUUGCAUUUAUAAGAAAUAUUUUACAAAAGAAAGAACACAGGAAGUGACUCAAGUGAAGGAACAUCUCAGGAGGAAGUUGCGGAUGUCAGCUUUUAAACUCUUGCAAGUAAAUUGAGGGAUUUAAGAAAAGUAGCUUAUCGUUCCUUUAUUACUGCUGUUUAUGGAUAUCUUGGAAAGAAGAAUCGAAGGCCUUUACCAUCCUGUAUGGUUAAUGCUAUUAGGGCUCAGUUUCCAGAUCCUGAUGGAUUAUAUUUAGGUUACAUGGCAUUAGAUUAUAAUGCUUCUGAAAUGUCUAUGGAGUUUUAAAGUGCAACAAACUAAGUAUUUAUUUGAAGUUUCAGACACUUAAAUGAUAGAAUUUGCCUUUCAUUUUAUUAUGAAUAUCUGAGUUAUAUUCUAUAAUGAUAAAAAUAAAAUCAGAAGAAAAGUCUGCAAAUGUUAGGCACCCCCAAGUGAUUGUAUUUACUUACCUGAAACCUGGGCCAGUGCUCCUAUCAGCAGAAAUCUGCAGUGGCCCAGGGUU